rnacentral:rRNA from 1 species
GCUUAACACAUGCCCUUCAAAAGGAAAGGCCCUGCUUUUGUGGGGUGCUCGAGUGGCGAACGGGUGAGUAACACGUGAGUAACCUGCCCUUGACUUUGGGAUAACUUCAGGAAACUGGGGCUAAUACCGGAUAGGAGCUCCUGCUGCAUGGUGGGGGUUGGAAAGUUUCGGCGGUUGGGGAUGGACUCGCGGCUUAUCAGCUUGUUGGUGGGGUAGUGGCUUACCAAGGCUUUGACGGGUAGCCGGCCUGAGAGGGUGACCGGCCACAUUGGGACUGAGAUACGGCCCAGACUCCUACGGGAGGCAGCAGUGGGGAAUAUUGCACAAUGGGCGGAAGCCUGAUGCAGCAACGCCGCGUGCGGGAUGACGGCCUUCGGGUUGUAAACCGCUUUCGCCUGUGACGAAGCGUGAGUGACGGUAAUGGGUAAAGAAGCACCGGCUAACUACGUGCCAGCAGCCGCGGUGAUACGUAGGGUGCGAGCGUUGUCCGGAUUUAUUGGGCGUAAAGGGCUCGUAGGUGGUUGAUCGCGUCGGAAGUGUAAUCUUGGGGCUUAACCCUGAGCGUGCUUUCGAUACGGGUUGACUUGAGGAAGGUAGGGGAGAAUGGAAUUCCUGGUGGAGCGGUGGAAUGCGCAGAUAUCAGGAGGAACACCAGUGGCGAAGGCGGUUCUCUGGGCCUUUCCUGACGCUGAGGAGCGAAAGCGUGGGGAGCGAACAGGCUUAGAUACCCUGGUAGUCCACGCUGUAAACGGUGGGUACUAGGCGUGGGGUCCAUUCCACGGGUUCCGUGCCGUAGCUAACGCUUUAAGUACCCCGCCUGGGGAGUACGGCCGCAAGGCUAAAACUCAAAGGAAUUGACGGGGCCCCGCACAAGCGGCGGAGCAUGCGGAUUAAUUCGAUGCAACGCGUAGAACCUUACCUGGGUUUGACAUGGAUCGGGAGUGCUCAGAGAUGGGUGUGCCUCUUUUGGGGUCGGUUCACAGGUGGUGCAUGCCUGUCGUCAGCUCGUGUCGUGAGAUGUUGGGUUAAGUCCCGCAACGAGCGCAACCCUUGUUCACUGUUGCCAGCACGUUAUGGUGGGGACUCAGUGGAGACCGCCGGGGUCAACUCGGAGGAAGGUGGGGAUGACGUCAAGUCCUCAUGCCCCUUAUGUCCAGGGCUUCACGCAUGCUACAAUGGCUGGUACAGAGAGUGGCGAGCCUGUGAGGGUGAGCGAAUCUCGGAAAGCCGGUCUCAGUUCGGAUUGGGGUCUGCAACUCGACCUCAUGAAGUCGGAGUCGCUAGUAAUCGCAGAUCAGCAACGCUGCGGUGAAUACGUUCCCGGGGCU